rnacentral:lncRNA from 1 species
GAGAUAGUAUUUGCAUAUAGAAAAAAGAUUCAAACGAAUGGAAAAUCAAGAUACAUAACUUAAAAUAACAAUGAAGCACACAAUAACUAUUAAUAUAACAUAUAAGCCAAUAUUUGCAACAUAAAUAGGAAGAAUGGAUAUCACACUUCUCUCUUUGGCUGUUUGAUUGAUUUGCCACUCAGAAGAGCAUCAGUGAGAGCAGUAGUAGAAGCAAGAGAGGCUUUCAGUAUGCUGCAAGCCUGCACCAACACAUUUUAUCUCAACAUCUAAACAUAACUAAAUAUAACAACCAAGAUUUUAAAUGAAAGUUUACCUCUUUCAGCCCUAUUUGCAUCUCCACUUCUUUGACAUCAGAUAUCGAGAUUUUCUGCUGUUUAAGAGAUGAAAGUGAUGAGGCGAUGCAAAAAGGUGUAACGGUUAAAUCAUCAGCCACGUGAUAAGUUGGAG